CAGUCUUUCUUGCAAAGUCAAACACUUCAAAAGAAUCUUCCUGACUGCUGACAUGGUUAAACUGAGUCAGCUGAUACAUCCUUUUCAAUUUUGCCUGCUAUGACAUAGUUGAUGGGUACAUUAUCAUAACUGUGAUUAGUUAUUACUGACCACAAAACAUUGCCUACUUUUUAGUUGCAAUUUUGUGUUUCAUUUUGCUUACAGCUACAUGUGUGAUUCCUGCUAUGAUUAGUAAUUAACUGUGAUUCCUGCAGAAUUAUAUAAGCAGCUUGAGAUAAAUGAAUGCUUUUUAUAUAAUUUGUAUAGUCCAAAGCAUUGCAUAAUCCAUAGACAGAUAGAUGCAAUUUUUUUUCCUAUAACAAGUACAAGAUUAGGUAUUCAGUCUUUCUUGCAAAAAAAACCCUUCAAAAUGAAACUCUAGAAUGUUCUAGAAUCUUCCUGACUGCUGACAUGGUUAAACAUAAGUCAGCUGAUACAACCUUUUCAAUUUUGCACAAGUGAGAACACCACCCACCAUUUGCAGCUCUGACAUAGUUGAUGGAUACAUUAUCAUAACUGUGAUUAGUAAUUAAUGACCACAAAGCAUUGCCUACUUUUUAAGUUGCAACUCUGUGCUUCAUUUUGCUUACAUCUAAGCUAAAUAUACA
rnacentral:lncRNA from 1 species